UACGGAGGGUGCAAGCGUUAUCCGGAUUCACUGGGUUUAAAGGGUGCGUAGGUGGGUAUGUAGGUCAGUGGUGAAAUCCCCGAGCUUAACUUGGGAACUGCCGUUGAUACUAUAUAUCUUGAAUAUCGCGUAGGUAAGCGGAAUAUGUCAUGUAGCGGUGAAAUGCUUAGAUAUGACAUAGAACACCAAUUGCGAAGGCAGCUUACUUCACGAUUAUUGACACUGAGGCACGAAAGCGUGGGGAGCAAACAGG
rnacentral:rRNA from 1 species